AAACAUUGUAAUACUGGAAGAUUGAUAGAUCUUUCUCAGUUCUGUGGAUGGUGGUCUAUGGCCAUACUUGGUUGAUGGAGCAGUCUGUCAAGUUAAUUCCCAUUAUGAAUGAGACUCUACCAUGCUAACUAGUUGUACUAUCUCCAAGUAGUAAGCAUCCAACAUCUUAAAGGGACAAAUAGCAUUGAGGGCCCCACCUGAAGUAAAGAUUGCAGCUUAAUUUGACUUAACAU
rfam:Anolis carolinensis chromosome 3, whole genome shotgun sequence.